rnacentral:rRNA from 1 species
CCUACGGGUGGCAGCAGUGGGGAAUAUUGGGCAAUGGGCGCAAGCCUGACCCAGCAACGCCGCGUGAAGGAAGAAGGCUUUCGGGUUGUAAAAUUCUUUUGUCAGGGAAGAGUAGAAGACGGUACAUGACGAAUAAGCCUCGGCUAACUACGUGCCAGCAGCCGCGGUAAUACGUAGGUGGCAAGCGUUGUCAGGAUUUACUGGGUGUAAAGGGCGUGUAGCCGGGUUGACAAGUCAGAUGUGAAAUCCUGCGGCUUAACCGGAGAACUGCAUUUGAAACUGGUGAUCUUGAGGACUGGAGAGGCAGACGGAAUUCCCAGGGUAGCGGGUAAAUGCGUAGAUAUUAGGAGGAACACCAGUGGCGAAGGCGGGCUGCUGGACAGCAACUGACGGUGAGGCGCGAAAGCGUGGGGAGCAAACAGGAUUAGAUACCCUUGUAGUC